rnacentral:rRNA from 1 species
GCGCAGCAGUUGCGAAAACUUGUCAAUGCACGAAAGUGCGACGAGGCUACUCCGAGUGCCAUCCGCUGAGGAUGGCUUUUGCCAGGUCUAAACCGCCUGGAGAAUAAGGGGAGGGCAAGUCUGGUGUCAGCCGCCGCGGUAAUACCAGCUCCUCGAGUGGUCGGGACGAUUAUUGGGCCUAAAGCAUCCGUAGCCGGUUCUGUAGGUCUCCUGUCAAAUUCAACGGCUCAACCGUUGAGCUGCAGGAGAUACCGCAGGGCUAGGAGGCGGGAGAGGUGGACGGUACUCUAUGGGUAGGGGUAAAAUCUUCUGAUCCAUGGAAGACCACCAGUGGCGAAGGCGGCCGACUAAAACGCGCCCGACGGUGAGGGACGAAAGCUGGGGGAGCGAACGGGAUUAGAUAUGAAGUUGAGUUUUUACCAGCUUCACUAGAUACCCCGGUAGUCC